rnacentral:misc_RNA from 1 species
CAGAGAGACGCCCUUGUUGCAACUUUUCAGGUAGGGGCCAUGGCGUCACACAGCUAGCUAGAGACGAGAGAGAGAGAGAGAGACAGAGCAUCUCAGCCUCAUCCAUCAUGGGGAAACAUAAGCUUUCCUUUAUGUCUGCACAGCGCAGGGGCAGAUUCUAUCUCUCUCGGCCUUGGGCUUGCACAUGCAUGAUCUCUCAUCUCUCCAAGCUAAGCCUCCAAGUCCAACCAACCAAUGCAAAGAAAGCUGAAGGCUUUUGCGAGCUCUCGUGCCAACUACGGCCGGCCUUGGUGUCUUGUGCUUCACAUCACAUGUGUGACUGCCUGACAGGGCUUGUGUGUUUCUGGUAGAUCUUAUCUGAAAGGUGACGACCUCACAUCACAAGACACGAGAGCUAGCAGUGCCUGCCUGCUUCACAUUGACAACAUCCCGUUCGUUCGUCACUUGCUUCUUGCUUUGCGUAGCCCCCAGUUCUUCUCUUUCCUGCUUUCGUGAUAUCAAUCAGAGAAGCAAGUGUCUCUUUUACAUGCCUAACUAACUACUCAUGUGAUGUGAUGUUUGUGAGCAGUGGCCAAUAGUACAAAGCGGCUGCGAGGUACCAAUGCAAAGGAGGUAGCACUAUCAGCCGAUGAACAAAGCCCAAACCCAGCGAGCCCCACGCCGUCUCCGUGCAUGGGCCACCAGGCACCAGCCACAAGCCCACCGGGUGGCCCAUGGAAAUGCAUGGAUACAUGUCAGACUUAGUGUGACAGCAUGAAGAGAAGGUUGGCACGAGUUCCACGUGCAAGUAUUGUAGGAAAACGAAGAGCAGAGGCGAUGGUACCAGCAGGUAGGUAUGGGUAUGGACAAACACCCCCUUCACCCCUAUACUCAAAUUUGUCAAAUAUGUAUCCAACAGGAAUCGAGGCCACAUAUAUUCAACCAAGUUUGGUGUUACCAUGUUGGGUCCAUAUGCUUCUACAGACGACCAAGACUAUGUAUACAGAAUGUGUACACACCAGGAUCCUUUCAACAUGCUUAACUAUGAUGACUCAAACUGGAUAUGUGAGUAUUGUAAUGUGGACCUAUAUGCUGCGGAAGAACUCUAAAUGAACUUGUAUUUGAGUAUUGUGAAGACCGAUUGUUGUUUGUUACAUAAGAGUUGGAGUUUG